rnacentral:rRNA from 1 species
CGCGUAGGUGGUAGUGCAAGUCUGGGGUGGAAUCUUAGGGCUUAACCCUAAAACUGCCUUGGAAACUGCAUUACUUGAGUCAGUGAGGGGAGGGUAGAAUUCCUGGUGUAGCGGUGAAAUGCGUAGAUAUCAGGAGGAAGGCCUGUGGCGAAGGCGGCCCUCUGGCGCUGAACUGACACUGAGGCGCGAAAGCGUGGGUAGCAAACAGGAUUAGAUACCCUGGUAGUCCACGCCCUAAACGGUGGGUACUAGUUGUAGGGCUCGUAAGGGUUCUGUGCCGAAGGGAAACCAUUAAGUACCCCGCCUGGGGAGUACGGCCGCAAGGUUGAA